CAGGAAAGGAAACUUUAUCUCUCGGUGCUGUUGGCACCGGGAGAGGAUAAUCCUGUUUAUUCGGUCAUCCAAAGCACUGAUGAUGAUCUGAGAUAAUCGGUGGCUGAGAGCAGCGAGGAGGGACGCGUGAGGUCUUCCGUGCCUGGAUGGAUGAGUCAGAUGCUCAGCACUGCAGCCCCAAUGUGGUGUGGAGAAAGCCCCAACCAUCCUCACAAAGAAGACAGAAACCAACUAGGUGUUUGGGGCCCUGAAGGUGCGAUUUUCAUGUGUGGCUGUUUGAUGAGCCCUGAAGGGCAGAAUUCUUGCUCUCCAACCUUCCUUCCUCUGCACCCGAAGAGUCAGCACUGAACACUGUGCUCCUCCUGAGGGUGCUUCAGGGCUCCUUGUGCAGAGCUCCAUGCUGCAGCACAGCCCUAAAGGCAAAGGCACAUCUGUGCUGAAGGCACCGCUGCUGCACUCCAGCCCCCAGACUGAAGUAGUGGCUGCACUGCCCCGAAGGCACCACGUGUGUUGUGCAUGUAGCACCAUUUCUUUAUUGGUGUUGGUAAGAAAAAAGAAGUGUCGUAUGCUGGCUGCAGACAGCUGCGGCUCUGAGGAUCCCUUCUAAAGAGACAGCAAGAGUUACCCAGAAUGAGCAAGGCUUCUGGCACCCGCUCAACGAUUACAGAGGUUUUGCAGGGUGACAGCAGUUCUGCAAUCAGCCCGCAGGGAGCAGCAGAGCGGUACCGGGCUGCUUUCCUCCCGGAGCCCCUCGGAGCUGGCAGCGCCUAGCAAUGCAUCUGCAGGUUCCCAGGAAGGAGUGCGCGUCCCCACCGCCCUGAGGGCAUCACGCCGUGCUGCAGCGGGGCUGUCCUGCGGCAGCAUCCGAGCAGGGCGAGAUCUCGUGUGACAGCCGCUGCCCUGCACGGCAGCAGCAUGGGACCAGCAGGGGUGCGCUGGCUGUGUGGCUUCACAAGGUGGGAACCACUGAAGAAAAAGUGUUUCUCAGUACUUAGGUCUGUCUAGAUUGAAUCCUGUGGAGAUGGUAGAGAACAAACUCAUGAAUUCGCCUUCACGUUAAUAUAAAACAGCUUUAUAAGGCUGGGGAGAUCUGGAUCCACUCCAGCGUGGUUUUUCCUGCAUGUCUGGUUUUUGCAUUGCUUUCCACUUACUAUUUGUUAUCCAUUUUCUGUUGUUUUGGUGUUGUUUCUCCUUUCCAAGUUUGAAAUAUAGCACGAAGUUACAGAAUUUGGCCUG